CCUUAUUUUUCACGACAACAAGGGCGGCGCCAUUUCGCUCAUUUUGUCAACGUUCUUCCGGCCGCAUAGACGAUGAGCAGCUGAGGCAGUGACUGAAGGCGACGCGUUAAGCUUAAAAAGCUCACUCGUUUCUUUCUUACCAAUUUUAAGCAAACUGAGGAACACCCUUAUCCCAAGUAAUGGUUCGACUACGAUGUUCCGGUAACUUUAAACCACGCCGGGUGUUGAAAAGGUGGCCAGUUUCAGAUGCAUUGAUGUGUAGUGAUGCAGUGGACAACUGUGAGGAUGAUACAAUCAACAUGUUCCUAAACUGUGAUGCAGAAACACAAUGGGAGGAUCCAUCCGUCUCUGAACACAACUACACUUUAAAAUCACAACUCAACCUGAAGCAACCUACAUCUGAUAUGGGAAAACAAUGGUGCGGUUUCCCUGACAGGGCUUAUGCUGGUCCCAGGCUAAAAUGCAGAUUUGAGCUACAAUAAUUUAAAAACACCUUGUACUGACAUACCUCAACAUAUAUGAGUGCCAUUGUUUUGUCACAAGAUGCGCACCAGUCUUGUUUUUUUGUAGGGUUUGUUUGUAAAAACUAAAAUGUCCUAAUAUAAUUAAAUCCUAGUCCUGUAAACCCUGUCCGAGAAACUGCUUCAAUGUGUUGAGCUGGCACAAAUGUACAUAUCUCUGCUGAGAAACAACCAUCUUUGGUUCAGCUUUACAGAGGGUUGAUAUUGCAUCCAUUACACAGUCGCCAAGCACUUUACCAGUACAUACACCAACAGCUUCCAGAUAAACACUUGGGAUCAGCUCCUGAUGACUCCGAUAAAGCUGUGUCUUAAUUUAUUGCAGGGUGGUCUUGCUUUACCUGUUGUAAAGUUACAUUAAACCUUCAUAUGUGA